rnacentral:rRNA from 1 species
UACGGAGGAUGCGAGCGUUAUCCGGAUUUAUUGGGCUUAAAGGGUGCGUAGGCCGGUAAUUAAGUCAGUGGUGAAAUACUCCGGCUCAACCGGGUGGCUGCCGUUGAUACUGGUUACCUUGAGUUUAGAUGAUGUGGGCGGAAUGUGUCAUGUAGCGGUGAAAUGCAUAGAGAUGACACAGAACACCGAUAGCGAAGGCAGCUCACAAAGCUAUUACUGACGCUGAUGCACGAAAGCGUGGGGAUCAAACA